UGGGGAAUAUUGCACAAUGGGCGCAAGCCUGAUGCAGCGACGCCGCGUGGGGGAUGACGGCCUUCGGGUUGUAAACUCCUUUCGCUAGGGACGAAGCUGUUUGUGACGGUACCUAGAUAAGAAGCACCGGCUAACCACGUGCCAGCAGCCGCGGUAAUACGUAGGGUGUGAGCGUUGUCCGGAAUUACUGGGCGUAAAGGGCUCGUAGGUGGUUUGUCGCGUCGUCUGUGAAAUUCCGGGGCUUAACUCCGGGCGUGCAGGCGAUACGGGCAUAACUUGAGUACUGUAGGGGUAACUGGAAUUCCUGGUGUAGCGGUGAAAUGCGCAGAUAUCAGGAGGAACACCGAUGGCGAAGGCAGGUUACUGGGCAGUUACUGACGCUGAGGAGCGAAAGCAUGGGUAGCGAACAGG
rnacentral:rRNA from 1 species